rnacentral:sRNA from 1 species
CGCGUUUUGUAGUGUAGGUGUCUGUGCCGCGCUUGUUUCUCUCCUUUUCAACGGUUACUUGUUUUGGUUUCGAUUCGGAGUUGGAUUUGAAUUGCGUUUUUAGAUCUUUCCUAUUAGAUCUAUCGAAAUAGUGAUUGAAAUCGGUUGAAUGUCGGAAUUUGUGUUUCGUAGGUUGGCUGUUCUGGGAAUGGACGGUGAUCUUGUGAUUCUGUUGGCGUCGAUCCCCUGGGAUGAUGAUCGUACAUCUAACUCUAUCUCAGAUCUUUCUUGUUAGAUUUAUCGAAAUUGUGAUAGAAAUCGGUUAAAUCUCGGAUUUUGUGUUUCGUAGGUUGGCUGUUCUUGGAAUGGACGGUGAUCUUGUGAUUUUGUUGGCGUUGAUCCGUUGUGACGAUGAUAGUACAUCUAACUCUAACCUUUUUUUUUUUUUUGAGAUCUGACUAAAUCGAUCAGUUUUGAUGUUUAUUCUUCUCGGAGUUUUUAGAAAAGUUUUGGUACCGUUCAAUUUUGAAACAUAAUGAAUAUUGGCUCUCUUUUCAGUUAAUCAUCUGGUGCGGAUGGACAGAUGGUUCUUUGGGUUCCUUUCCUUUAUUACGAGUUCUAUAUCUUGUUUUGUUUUGGAACUUUGGUAGAUGUUACAAUAUAUGGUUUCUGACUGCAGUGAUGCUGCUGGCUUUGCUUUUCUAAAGUGCUGAUCCUUGAACUUCCUUAUGGCCGUGAUCGCCGACCUCUAUUUUGAUUAAAUCGAUCUGUUUUGGUAUUUAUUCUUCUCAGAGUUUUCACAAAAGUUUCGGUACCGUUCCAUGUUGAACAUAACGAGUAUGGGCUCUCUUCUCGGUUAAUUAUUUUGUGCGAAUGGACAGAUGGUUCUUUUGGGUUCCCUUCCUCUUUUACGAGUUCUGUAUUUCUUGUUUUGUUUUGGAACUUUGGAGGAUAUUUCAAUAUAUGGUUUCUGACUGCAGUGAUGUUGCUGGCUUUCCUUUUCUAAAGUGCUGAUCCUUGAAAAUUUCCUCAUGGCCGUGAUCACCACUAUCACUAGGGCUGUUUCUCCUUCCACGUUGUGAAUAAUUUUUUCUUUUGAAGUUAAUUAGUAAUAUGUCAGGAGAUGAAAGAUUAUUCGUACUUUUUGUGAAUUUUGGUAGGAAUUUUUCUGCAAUUUCUGUGGGUUAGUCACAUUAUGUUGGGAGUGUGAAAAAUUUUAUAUAUUGGAUCAAUGGAGUCUGAAGAGAGAAAGGGGUGGGAAAGACAUUUUCAGAUUUCAAGUUUUUGCGCGUUCAAAUUUUGGGCUUUUGUAUCUGGACAUUUGCUACCGAACAGUUUUUUAUCAGUGGUGGAAAAUUGAUCAUGGCUUUUAUCAGUUUGCUUGAUAAAGGCUUUCGUGUGCAGUGGUUGGCUGGGCAUUGUGAUGGGGAAAAAUUUAAGUCUUCAUUCUUGCUGUUAAUUUCUUGUUCAUUGUUGCAAGAUCUUUUACUUUGAUCCUUCUGUUUUAAAACAAAUUUAAAAAUUAAAGCCGUCUGCCCUUUGUGUGCCUUGUUUUUCAGUUGACCAUUUUUUCUCUUGACAAAUCUGGACUCCUGGUUUUCAUAGGCAGUUUUUGACAGCAGCAAUUUUGAAAUUCUACCUUAAGCAGAUAACACAAAUAUACUAUGGUUACUUACAACUAUUUUUAUAAAUAUUUUCGCACCCUUGAUUAGGAUUUCUUGGAUUUUAUUGAUUUGAAUAUCUUUUAACGGUUUUGUUUGAUCAGGGUCAGUUGGAUUUUAAAUUUUGGAGUCCUGUCUCAAUUCCUAAGGAGAUCUGCUUCCUGGUUCUUAUCGUGUCUCUUCAAAAUUUUUAGUUUGGAGCUUUUAGCAUCUCGUGUAGUUAAUGUCACUGAGCAUUAUAUGGCUUUUUGACCCUUUUAUUGUUUUAGAUGCUGAUGUGUAAUCAGUUUUCAAAAUUAAAAGCAGGAAGGGCAAGGAUGAAGGAUCUUGCUGCAGUUGGAGUGGGCUGUUGUUAGAAAUUACGACCAUUACGUAGGGAGAAUGAGAUCAUAUAUAGCUUUGUUAUCUCUUUAUGGAUGGAGCUUGGGAUGGAGGCAUUGGGUAAGUAGAUGAGGAGUCAAGGCCAAUUAAUUGUUUAUGUCUUACAUUUACUUAAAAUCUGCUUAAUAUAACUCAAGAUAAGUACAGGUUUGUGCUGUAGAUUUAGGUUUGGAAAGAUUCUGGCGGUCGCUUGUUUCAAAAGGUUGCGGACAACCUUGCUGGUUGGGACAGUAAUCUUAUUCAGACUUUUCUCUUGUGUUCAUGAUAUAUAUGAGUACUUUUGUGAUUGUAGGUAGCAGAUAUUUCUUAGGUUUUAAAAGUUCUGCACUAAUGUAUAUUCCAGUUGUGCUUUCAUUUCUUGGAUUUGUGAAGUUUGGAUUUAAUUUGUAAUUUUUACUACAUGUUGGUUGGGCUUUACCAAUGGAGAAAUUUUUACUCAGCCGUCAUUUCUGCUAUGGAUUCCUGUGUUCUGUGUACUUUUAACUUUUACCUCUUUAUACAGUUUUUUUUUUCUUCUUAAUUGUUUCCACCAUUUUUUAGGACUCUUGGUAUCUAAGACUUCCAUUGGAUUUUCUUGGAUUUUCGCAUCUCUCUGGUAUACUUAAUUUUGGAGGAUUUUGUUUUGGUACUGAGCAUGAUAUGCCUUUAUGACCCUUUUAUUUUCGGAUUCUGUUUGGGGAUUUUGCUUUAUGACCCUUUUAUUUGCAAAAUUGUAAGGAUGAAGGAUUUUGCUUUUGCUUGGUCUUAAAAUCUGAUUUGCAUUAUUGCUUGGAAGGUAGAUAGGUUUAUAAAGUAUAGGCAGCAGACUUGAAGCUUGUUAGAAAUUUUACUUGCAUUUUUUUUUCUUUAUUUUGGUUAUAUUUUUAUUGUAUUGCACAAAAUUGUAA